rnacentral:tRNA from 1 species
CGCGCUCGGCCAGGGCGCGGGUGGCGCGGUGUUGGAACCAUCGCACGAGGUCCAGGAUGCGAUGGCGCCGUGCGUCCGAUUCGUCCUCGUGCGAC